rnacentral:misc_RNA from 1 species
UUCGUUCGUCAGUUUAGCUUGCAAAGGCGGGUGGUGUUGUCGUUUUGUGUCCGCCGCACAUGCGCGCACAGCUGUGAGGUGGCUGAAUGAAAAUUGACAGAUCACUUAAAUAAUUAAGCUUAAUUUUAUAUAAUAAAAUUAAUACACAACGUUAAAUUAAACUUGGCAUUUUUAUUCAAAAGUGCAUCAAGUAUCGACGCAAAAAGUUCGAAGUGUACACACAAUAGAUGAGAAAAAAAUCGAUUUAAAAACGACUUGAAUGUAUUUUUCGUGGGUUUUCUUGCAGUGAAGCAGCUUUUUGUUAGUUUUGCAACAAGUGCGGGCCCCGCUAGCCGUGUCGGUGCGUCGAGAACUGGUUUUAGAAGACCGUUGGGUUUUUUGUGUUUACGUAUAGGUAUAUUUUGCCAGUGAUUGUGCCGUUUGUGAUGCUGCAAUUGGUUGCACGUACUCCUCGGUGAGCCGUCAUCAGUGCCCGACGGUGGUUUGCGGAGAGGAUACCGGGUUACAGACAAACCACACUCAUCACCAAAGACGUAAGCUCUGUAGAGCUGCAGCGAGGUGCGCGUGCGCAAAUGAUGAGCGCGGCCGAGACGCGCGAGCCCUUCACCCGGCGGCCCCGGCGACAUGGCGGCGCUCUCCUGCUACCAGCCCUGCAGGCCGCAUCUGGCGCAGCCUGCUAGAUAUUCCAGGUGUCUAGACGAAGAGGACAACCACACUACGCUGCAACUCCGCCGGCAGCAGUUCAUAGAGCGAUGCCACGAGUCGCGCGGCGUGCGGCGGGACGCGAUCCCUGAAGUGAUACCGGUGUCAGUGAAGCGCACCAGGGAGGAGCUGGCCAAACAUGCGUCACAAACCGUGCCGCUGACGCGCCGGCUCAACGUCGAGUCGGGCUGGUCGAAGGUCGAGGAGGUGCGGAAGAAGUUUGAGGGUGCGGCCACCUCGGCGUCGUAUUCGCGCUCGUUUGAAUCUCCUCCCAGGCGCAGGCUAGCAGACUCAUUAUUCGCGAGCUUCAAACUACCCCGCAAGAAGGACGGCAUGGCGGCGCCGCGGUCGCUGCUCCCCCAGCCGCAGCAGAAGCGCAAGUCGGCGGUGGAGCUGCUUGCCGAGACCAAGGCGUUCUACGUCAAGUCCGAGACCGUGCUGGACAGGAAGCAGGAACUGCCUUUGAGGAUGAGUAGUGGACUGGGCCAGGCGAUCGCCGCCGGUGGUUGCCAUCUCAUCAGCUCAGGAGCCCUCAACAAUGACGCAUGUUGUAAUCCCUACGCGACCACCAGGAGUGCGAGCAGCGCGCGGCGGGCGGUGAGCGCGGGCGAGGGCCUGCAGAACACGCUGCGGCGGCUGCUCGACCACUCUGACAGCAGGGAGAACGUCUACUCGCCAGCUUUUGGCACGCCGCACAAAAUCUACGCCGAGUCGCGUCGCAUAAAAGACUCGUACGACCGUGAUGUUCCGCGCACUCAACACAACUCCGGGAACUUUACUGGAACGUUCUCGGGCACGUCAUCCUCGGGAACAUCAGGCUCGAAGGCGCAGAAAUCCGACCCGGACAGGGACAAGCUGAACCGGCCGCUCAGCUUCGGUGACGCGAGGGUGUUCUUCCCGGAGUCGUUCGUGAUACCACGACAGCGGCCCGCUGAAGUGGUUAUUAAGAAUGCUUAUUCUAUACCGAGUUCCCAUUCGAGCCCCGAGCACAUAGAGUUGCCGGAGCCGGUGCUGAGCGGGUCGGGCUCGCCGGCAGAGCAGAUGGCCGCCAUCAGCCCGCCCGCGCAGUAUGCACAUUCGGCGCCACGGUACACCAGGUCGAAUUCGCACUCGCAGCCGAGCAUGCGCGAGGACGACAGUUGUACCAACAUCAACAGUCACAAAUCUCUACCAGAUCUCCACACGCAAGCGCGCUGCUACACCGAACAUAUGCCGGAGGGCCGCACGGACACGAUAGGCAGGUCGCCGCGCCGCCGCCGAUACUCCAGCCAUCAGCGGACCGCCUCCUGCUCCUCCAAGGGAACCAGAUCAAAUCACUCUUCUCUAAUAUCGUCGUGUGAAGCUUUCUCGGAGCAUCCUUCACCUGGCGAGGACAACUAUCAGUCGUACAACAGUCGCUGCGGCUCGUCGUUCGCGCGCGACUCGGGCGGCUCGUCGGGGCACUACACGCAGCGCAGCGCGCCGCCGCACGCGCACCCGCACCGCACCGACUCCGGCUCCUCCACGCAGCACGAACACGCCAGCCGCUACAACUCGUACUACACGGAUUACGGCGGCGGCGAGGUGGAGUGCUACGUAUCGGCGCCGCCGCAGUUCCAAGACGGCGCCGAGCUGCUGCCGCCUGCGCCCGCGCAUCAUCCCCACCACCCCCACCACUACCCGCCGCAGCCUCGCGUCGGGAUACACUUCCAGGCGAGCGCCCCUCCCCCGCAGUUCCAGGACGAACCGCCAGUGUACGACUAUGGUGACUACGACUGCUCGUACAAGCCGCCCAUCAAGUGCCUCAACGUCGGCCGCAAGGAGUACACCAACACCAGGGAGUAUACCAGAUAUCACGAACCAAACACGGAGCUGAUCAACAAACAGCCGCAGUACCAGGAGAUCCGUAUGCGCCCGCGCAUCGACGACAAACAGGAGUACGUCAAUGCUUCACAGAUAUGUCAGGCGGAGGAGGUGACGUCACCGCUCGGCACGUUCAAACGCCAGCGAUGCCUCCGCUACAAGCAGCGCCGACCGAGGCCCAUACUGCGCUCCAAGUCCGACAUCUCGGAUAGAUACAGACGCACGGAGGGGCGCAGUCCCGCGUCGGCGCCGUGCGAGGACGAGUCGCCGAGCCCCGGCGAGGAGUCCGCGCGCCUGCACCAGUUCUUCGAGCGGCUCGGCCUGGAACCGAGGCAGUACGAUGCUCUCAUACGGGACGCACCGCCCGACAGUCCGGUGUUCUUCUCUUCUGCGUCCACUGUCGACUCCAAUCAGCUGGCGGCUGCUGCUGAUUACACGGUGCAAGGUCCCGGCGUGCAGAAGCAGAUCUACCGCAACACAGAACCUCCCAGCGUGGUGGAGCGCAACGCCCGCAUCAUCAAGUGGCUGUGCCAGUGUCGCAAGACGCAGAUGCAGCCGCCGCAGUGAAUGUAAACACCCCGCGUUACACAGUACAGUAAGGUUACAGUUAACGCGGUUUCGUUAUACGCGGAAUUUGGUACACGCGGUUUUUUGUUUGUCGAUCUUUGCUGUUUCUAUAAUACGCCAAUGUAAAGGCGUACUGAAAGCUAACGCGACACAGAACCUCUGAGCAUGGUGGAGUGCAACACUUGCGACAUCAAUUACUGGCUGUUAUUGUCGAAAGACGCGGAUGCAACCGCCAAAGUGAAUCACUUACAAGGCCUCGAUUAACGCGGUUUCGAUAUACGCGAUUUUGACGGUUUCAUUAUGAGGGAUGUACGCGAUAUAUUAUUAUUUAUUACUUUCCAUCUCUUAGUUAUUCUGCCUUAUCUGAGAAGUGAAUAUUUAACUUUCCCUAUCUAUAUUUCAAGUACUAAGUUACUUAGUUGUAAUUUAUCCCUAACUUACAUAACAGUCAUGCCCUUUCAUAAUAUUAAUAUACAGAAUCGUUACCCAAAAGUCUUUUUUUUCGCGAUAUAUACAUUCAUUCAUUCACACUAAUAACAACCGCGUUAAACGAGGCAUUACCAUUUAUAUAAAGACAUAUUAUUCUUUAGCAUUCAUAUUUUGCUAAAUAGGAUGUAAUAAAUUAAACAACAUAUAACAGUUGACUGACAAUAUCCUUGUUAUAACAAUAUUUUAUUUGAAACAAACCUGGCCUUAAAGAUGGUAUUUCAUAAUAAAUUCGAUUGAAAACAAUGAUCUCAAUAAUCAAAAUAAUAAUCGUCUAUGUUUUUUUGUACGGGCAAGUCAAUAUAAACCCACAGCAGUUGAUGGUAAAUGGAGUGGGCACAAUAGAAUGUCGAACGAGAGAUGAAUACGAUUUGAAAGUACACAAUUUGAUAGAACUACCCUCUUUUCAUUUCUGCCUCCGCAACUUUUUAACCGUCUUUUUAAGCGAGAGGAAGAGAAGUCAUCCGCCUGAUCAGAGGCUAAAGGAGUAAUAUGGGAUUUAAAACGAUAAGCUAUAACCAUUGAGUAAUAGAUGCCGCAUUGUGAAGGAGUAGGAUAUUGAAGGUCCGGUUCGAAGGACCAAUAAAUUUCAAACACCCAUUAUGAAAUGUAAAAUUUGAAGGGAGUGUGGUUUUCGAAAAUUUCUGAUUGCCGUCGACCGACUACCUCUAGAGAUCGAAAAUUACGGAAGUUCAUCACUUAAAGUAAAAGUGUUUAAGAAAAUAAUGGGGUGACCAUAAAUAUUGGCACAAGGAGAAAUGUGAGGAAUUUUUUAUCUUUAAAAAUGGCAUUACAAUGCGGUGUCUAUUCAAAAUAAUAAUAUCGAUGUAAAUGUUAAGAUAUUAACAUCUCCAAACGUGAUAUUCUGACGAAGAAAAAUGCUUCCAAUAUAUACAACGCCAACUAACCCACUGUAGAAAGUAUAAAGGGAGAACCAAAAUUUUGCUCAGAUAUCAGUGCUAGAUCACUGGUGUAAGCUCAAUGCUAGAUAAAAACAUGGUGGUUAAACUAGGUGGCACGAGAUAUUAAUAAUAGUACGUUGUGGAUUAUGAAGCAUUCGUCAAUUUAUUGUUAUGGUGCAAAGUAUAUAACAAAAAUAUAUCUCGAUAAUAGGGUACCGGACUCAUUUUUGUUCUUUACUAUUAUCAAAUAUUUACAUAAUAUAAAUUAUAACACAGAAGGAAUUAUUAAAAUCCGGUAAGAAAUCAACAAGUUAUAAGUCAUUGAAUUUCGGCGGAAGGGGUAAUUAACAAGAAACAGAAAAGACACGAAAUACCCACAUGUGACGUCAUCGGGAACUACGACACGUGCGAAAGAAAAAGUCGAAGCGGUAUCCCCACAUCGCGCCCACUUCUGCACAUUACAAUAUUUUAAAUAUGAAUUACUCGCUCAUUUUUUAACCAAUUUUUAUGCAGUUUUCGCAGGAGUGCUUCUUUUUCAUAUUAUUAACAAUUGCAUAUAGAAUAAUGUACUAAAUCAAGCAUAGGCCGGUCCCCUAUUGGACGUGACCCUCUCAGUAGGCCGUUCCCAGCAUUGGUAUAGUAUAUCCAGGCCUACAUUAUAAUCAUAGCCGCCGGUUAGGUGCAAGUGGGUGCACGCGCACCCCCCUGUCCAGAAAUAAGUCACAAAAAAUAUAAUUCACUGAAUAAAUCUGCAACAAUGGGAAUUAUCGCCCACAGAGGUUUUUUUAUGAUAAAGCAUUUUCAAAAAUCCGCACGAUUUGAAUUUGAAAAAAAAAAAUUUGUAGUAUAGAGCGUAGGUGUAGAUGCACCUCUCUAAAGCUAACAUUGAGCGCGCCCAUGAUUAUAACAUCAGAUAUAUAUGACCUUCUAGAUAGCAACAACUUCACGCCUUAUGUAAAUCGCCGAGGGUAAUACACCCUACUUGCUACUUUUAACAAAAACGUGUUUUAAAAUAGCAUUUCUGUAUAACGAAUACUCGUGCCACUAUGAUUUUUAACUAAACGUUAUCGAUGAUAAUAAUGAGGUGAGAUUCGUUAGAGAGAUCGAUUGGUAGAAAAUUUGGAGAUAAUAAUGCUGUGAGUUUUUUACGUUUUAAAAUAACGAAUCUAUUCGUUCGUUGCGUGUUUAAAAAUAACUGAUUUAUGCUAGUGUCAACUAAUCACUCUGCUAUAAUUUGACCGGACUUUCAGUAUAAUCAAAUGCAUUUUUCGUUUUAUUAUUUCAAUAAGGAAUUUGGAUAAAAUUAGUUCCUCAGUUAUCCACUAGAGGCGCUGAAUUCAUACAUUUCUCAAAUGACGUUUAAAACUCAUGGUAAUCUCUGUUCAUUAGUAAAUACGAUUUUUAUUAUAAAGUAGUUAAUAUGGUUAUACUUGUGCUUAUCGGGAUGUUUGUGGCCUAAUUGUUAUUUAUUUAUGGAAAUAACAAUCAUUAUUCCAGUGGUUUGGGAAUAUGAUUGUAUAUCGGCGUAAAAUCACGUCUAACUAAAGAUUGAUUUGUAUCGUGACGAGUUAAACCGUCUCGAUGUAAAAUAUGACGAAUAAUUACGUCGUGUUUGCCAAAAAACAAAAAUGUUGAUUUCGUUUACAAAUUAUCAAUUUUUUAUAUUGCCAGAACUAUGUUAUGUGAACUGUAUUGUUUAGUUUAACAUCAGUUGAAGAACAUUGUUUGUCGACGUUCGACGCGAGUUUUAAAAUUGUAAAAUUAUAGAUAAGGUAUUUUCGUCUCAAAAACUAUGUACAAUUCGCGAGCUUAGAAUUAGAACGAUCAAAAUUAUUUUCGAAUCGAAAUAAUUAUAUUAAUAACUUCCGAUGAUUUCUACUGAUAAUGUUUAAUGAAAUGUUAAUUUUGUGUCAAAGUAAUUGAAUUAAAAACAUUGACUACAAUAUUAAAAUUCCGAAAAUUUAUAUGUAUACAUAUAUACUGAUGAACUAUGUAACUUUAAGGCACUUAAACCCGUUGGUCCUGCGCCUGAUCUCUCUCCGCUCAUGUCGGAUUGCCGUCUCAUCGGACUAUGAGAGUGAAGGAACAGAGAGUGCACCUGUGUAUUGCGCACACACUUGUGCACUAUAAUAUCUCCUGCGUACUUGGCCUCCGUUGAUAUUGGCCGCCGUGGCCGAAACUCGACUAGGAAGGAAUCAAGUUAAAGGUUGUAAUAAUUUGUACAUUAUUUCGAAUAUUUAUAUGAAUUAUAUCACAGAAAUCCAAGUUAAUUGAUCAGUCAGUAUUACUGAUCAAAAUUAUUGAAAUAUAAUUAUCAGUAGAAACCAACGAAAAAAUAUAUAAAAUAAAUGUUCCUGUUACGGAUUUGUCAUUAUUAUUUAUAACGCUAAAUAUUUUCAUGUGUAUUUAAAAUUAUUUAUAUGAUAGUUAUAAAUAUUUAAGAUAUAAUGUGUCAUUGUGAUUCGGAAGCACAAAAGGAUCAAUUUUAGGUGAUAUUGUUUAUGUUGUGCCAAAUAUAACAUAACUGUUAUAAAUAACGUUAUAACGGUCGAUAACAGCGUUAUUUUGAAGGAAUUGGUGAAAAAGGAUUUAAUGUUAAUUCAAGGAAUUGUGGUCUAAAAAAAGGUUUUUCGGAGCCGAUAAAUAUAAUCGUAUUCUUCAAUAUAUUAUAACAACUAAUAUUCUAUAUAUCUUAGAUUUUUUAAUCAUGUUAAAGUGCUAAGUAAAUUUGAUUAUACAGGUUGAUACAUUUUAUAAGUAUAACAGUUAGCUAUAUUUUAAAAAUAAUUUUAUAUUUUUCGACUUCGAAAAAAGAACAGCUAAACUGGAAUUAAUGGCGUCGUUUAUAAAGUACAUUAAUACGAAUAUAAAGACAAUAUAAUAAACGAAAUAAUCUAUUUUAUGUCAUUAUGCAUAAUGUUUAACCGUAACACGUACGCAACAAUGUAUUCAUUAAAUGUAAAUAGCAGUCAAGUUUAAUCUCAGUUAUUAUUAGAAUAGAAACAGUUGUUAGUAUAGUUCUCUUAACUAUAGUUAAAGUUUCAGCUUUGGAAAGUGUUCAUACAUUUUAUAAAGAUACUCCUAUUACUUUUUUAAGGCUUCUAAAUAAGCAAAGGAAGUUAAUUAUUCUGACUAAAUUUUUUCUUUUCUAUGUUUUUUAAAAUCUAAUUUACAUUCUAUCAAUAAUCGUUUCGACUGACUACAUAUAUGCAUUUAUCUUCAUAUUGUACUGAAAUUGUAUUAAAAUUGUCUAUUUAUAGUAAUAAUUGCUUUGGGUUGUUGAACAGGCCUAUGUUUCUAAAAGCAUAUAAUUUAUUCAUUCUAUAAAAUUGUUAUUCAUAUUUUUCUUGUUCUAAAAGACUGUCGUUCGUUUCUCACUUUGAUUAGAAAUUCUGUGAUAUGGUAGAAAAAUGUAUUUAAAAACAAUAUAUUUUCAAAAUGGUUUUCACUUUUGCAUUUAUUUUAUAAAUUGUGGAAAAUGUUUUGUCAAUGCUGUGUGGUAAUGAAGUUUGAUCUUUAUAGUUAUUUUUAUCUAAAACUUAUAUCAGAGUGUGUUGUAUUUUUAAUUGUGUGUGUGUGUAAGUCAGAAACAAUAAUCGGUCUAAACGCACAGCCACAUAAUUGCUCAACCUACUAAUAUUAAAUCCUCAAAUAUAUUCCAAUAAAAUAAGAUAAUCAAAAGAGCCUAAAAAUGAUUUACUAUGGAAAAAUAUUACAAGUAAAUAUUUUAUAAUUUUUAAUUUUCACGGCACUAAAAUAUUAAAGGUGGUUAAACACACCAUGUAUAUGAACAUAGAGGAACUUCGAGCUAUGGAAAGUUGGACGAUUGUGUGGAUGCGACAUUAGUGGGUAUUUGCAGGAAUGACUGAUUAGGGUUUGAAUUUUCAAUCAUCAGAUAAAAGUUAAACAAUAAUCCUUACCUUACUAGAUAUAAAGGUAAAAACAAUAAAAUAUUUUACUUCAACAAAUUUAAUUCGUUCGUGGUAUAAUUUACCGAAUAAAUAUUUUUAACCAACUUAAAAAAAAGGAGGAGGUUCUCAAAUCAACUGUAUUUUUUUUAUCUGACGAUUGAAAUUGGAUCCGUAAUGAGUUAAUUCUAUUUUAAAUAGCUUUCAGUUUUUAUAAAACCCUAUAAAUUACGUUACAUGUUCGUUGGUUUUAACACAUUUUACAAUAGUUAAGAUUUACCUCGUAUAAUAGAGUGUGUACUGUUUUAAUAAAUUUUUAACUUGUAUCGUUUCUGAAUUUAGGUGAAUGAUGUAAGACUAGUGUGACAGUAUUAGAAAGUUUUUAGCAUUCGAUGCAUUCAUUUAUUGUGUAAAUAAGAUUUACGUACAUUGUUAGAAGUUUAUCGUGAUAAAAGAAUUAUAUUGUGGUCUGAUGAUAA